rnacentral:rRNA from 1 species
UGGGGAAUAUUGGACAAUGGGGGCAACCCUGAUCCAGCAAUACCGCGUGUGUGAAGACGGCCUUCGGGUUGUAAAGCACUUUAGUUGGGGAAGAAGUAUAGUAUUUUAAGAGAUAACUAUAUUGACGGUACCCAAAGAAUAAGCACCGGCUAACUCUGUGCCAGCAGCCGCGGUAAUACAGAGGGUGCGAGCGUUAAUCGGAAUUACUGGGCGUAAAGGGCGCGUAGGCGGUUAUUUAAGUUAGAUGUGAAAUCCCUGGGCUUAACCUAGGAACUGCAUUUGAUACUGGAUAGCUAGAGUGCAGUAGAGGGUAGUGGAAUUUCCGGUGUAGCGGUGAAAUGCGUAGAUAUCGGAAGGAACACCAGUGGCGAAGGCGGCUACCUGGACUGACACUGACGCUGAGGCGCGAGAGCGUGGGGAGCAAACAGG